rnacentral:rRNA from 1 species
UAACACCGGCGGCCCGAGUGGUAGCCGCUAUUAUUGGGUCUAAAGGGUCCGUAGCCGGUUCGGUAAGUCCUCUGGGAAAUCUGGUUGCUUAACAAUCAGGCUGCCAAGGGAUACUGCUGAACUUGAGACCGGGAGAGGUAAGAGGUACUUCAGGGGUAGGAGUGAAAUCUUGUGAUCCCUGGGGGACCAUCUGUGGCGAAGGCGUCUUACCAGAACGGGUCUGACGGUGAGGGACGAAAGCUGGGGGCGCAAACCGGAUUAGAUACCCGGGUAGUCCCAGCCGUAAACGAUGCUCGCUAUGUGUCAGGUACGGUGUGACCGUAUCUGGUGCCGUAGGGAAGCCGUGAAGCGAGCCACCUGGGAAGUACGGUCGCAAGACUG